rnacentral:tRNA from 1 species
GGUUGUAGCUCAGUGGUACAGUGCUUGCCUAGCAUGUGUGAAGCACUGGGUUCAAUUCUCAGAACCA